rnacentral:misc_RNA from 1 species
AAAGUCGUAACAAGGUAUCCGUAGGUGAACCUGCGGAUGGAUCAUUAACGUGUAAUAGCUGAUUGAUGGCCGCAAGGCUGUCGUCAGUCUAAUAACUCUGUUAUACCCUUGUGGUGAAAAUAGGAUACUAGUGUGAUUGUGGUGGUUGGGGUCUCUUUCGGGGGACCAUGGACGCCACGAUCCUCUUCUUAACCAAAAACAUUAUCAUUACAUUAUUAAUCUAAAGUAACCUUGUGGACGAGAUAUUCAUUUAUUAUAAUCACCAAGUAAAACAAUAAUAAUCUAAUACAACUGCUAGCAACGGAUCACUCGGCUCUC